GUUCUCAAAAGUGUUGCAGGGUCCCUUGUUUUUAUUUCCCUUUUCUUCCGCAUCCCUUCAUGAAGGUUGUGAGCUUGGUCACUCCACGCUCAGUCUCGGCCAACUUGCCUCCUGCCUUUACGUCUCAAAUCAGUCUCUGGUGGCUGAUGGCCAUCGCUGCCUGCAAAUGUGCUGGGCUGUCCGCGCCCUGUUCUCUUCCUCUCCCAGCAGAACCAGUUAACCCAACCCAUGCGCUGGCCGGCAGGGCACAGGGCAAUGACAAACAAGGGCUGUGUGGUUAAAGCCAUCCCCAGAGCUUCACUCGCAUCAGCGAACACAUGCCAAGCUGUCCUUUCCCACACUGAGCAUUUUGCAGUUUAUGAAGCUAAGAGGAUUUUGCUUUUCUCUGCUUUAAAUCCAACGCAGAGUCGGUUUAAUACUGGAUUCGCUCCCCCUUACAGUGAGGCUAACGCAGUAAUUGGUAUUUCCCGUCACCAAAUACUGAGAUCCUGAUGCUUUGCGGCCACACAAAUACCAGUUAAGGGCUCUCACAAGCCAGGGGGCAGCCCGGCAAUGGUGGAAAGACCUGGACGUCAGCAGAGAUGCUCCCACAAGCUCUCCACGCUGACCUACAGGACGGGACUUCUCCCAAAUGUGCCUUUGGGUCACCAGGAAGCAUCCUGAGCUCCCCAUGCAGCAGUCCUGGGAGGGGGGGUGCUGGUAGAGCAGCUCCCAGAGAUGGUCCAGAUGUGGGUCAGGAGGGUUUGGGAGUGAUGUCUCAAGCCUGACCUUCCUUUUCCCAGGUCCUGGGAGGUUGGGACAGUAAGGGUAGGCUUCGUCUGACCACCGGUAGAUGUGCACAACCAGAGCACGUCUGGGCUCAAGCUGUAGUCAAAGGGAGCCAGACCCUACUGUGGUGGAGGGUGUGGGUCAGAGAAGCACCCACUAAGGGGGAAGGAGGUGGUCAGCCUCAUCUUCCAAAUAUUCCUCAAAGGCAAGGGAGGCUGCCGGGGCUGUGAGGCCAGCUCUCCAGCAUGGAAAUGGCAUCAGGGGUGUUUAAAAUGGCACGCAGGGGGAAGACACGGCGUUGCCACGCUGGCAUGGUCCAGGGAGGCAGCAGGAUGCUGGUUUGGGCUGGGGUGGGAGCAUCCGGGGCCACCUGUCAGGGAAAGGGGGUGCCUCUGCCAGCGUAGUGGGUGCCAGCACCCUGUGACAACGGCUGCAGCUGUGCUUGGUGUGUGUAAACCCGAGCCAGCAAAGAGACGGUGCUAGAGAGGACACGGGCACAGAGAUCCCACCCUACCAGCUCCUGGUAUCAAGCAAAUCCCCAGGCUCCACUCCAGAUAAAGCUCCCAGCAGCUUGGGGAGGGAUGGCCAAACCCUGAAUCCGAAAGGAGCAGCGUCCCGCACCAAGGGCAUUGAGCGCAGCUCAGCCGGUGAAUCAGGACUCCGGCUAUUUUGUUUCAGGCAGCCGGAGCUCGUCAAAAGGAAGAAAGGCUCCUUGUCUCGGGGUCGCGGCUCUAAUCCUGUUAUGUGUCUGCGAGAGAAAAGAGGACAACGGAGCGAGGAGGACAGACCCGGUACCGAUGCCAAUUCCCUUCCCUUCGCACCCUGCGUCCAGUGCCAGCCCUUGCCCAGCCACAAAAGGCUGCCUCCCCUCCCAGCGAACUAACCAAGCAUUUAAAUUUAAUAGCUGUCCGCAGCCUCGCCGUUUCAAAGUGAUCAGGCGUUUGAUUAAAGCCCAUGUGUUGCUUUGUUGGCUGGGAGGCGAAUUCCUCCACAGGGCCCGUAAAAUCAGCUCUGGUGACCAGUGUGGCACACGGCGGAUGCUCUUCGCCAUCGCCCCUGCUCUCCCCAUGUCAGACAAGGUGCUGACGGGGAGCCUGCCCCCUCGGGUAACCCCCUGUCCCCUCCAUCCUGAUGCACCCACACAUACAAACCAUGCUCCUCCUCUGGUGCUCCGGCAAAGCCAGAGUGGGAGGAGAGCCCGUGGGCUGCGGACAAGCCGUCACCCAGGGGGUGAAACCGAGGCACAGCGAGGGAUGCUGAGCCCAGAGCCAGAUGCGGCUCCAGGGCUUGUGGCCAGCUGGAGCGAGAUGGGGAAUGGAGGUUGUGUCUUCAUGCGCUGGGCUACGUCUGGCUGGACCUACAGGUGCCAUCAGAAAGGAUCCCAGUGAGGAGUGGAGAGUUUCCAGAGGAGUGGAGAGCUUCCAGAAGAGUGGAGAGCUUCCAGAGCCCCUCAUGCAGCCACACAUUGACUGGUUGGACUCGCUCCUUGGUUGUGCCAUCUCACCUCAUAUCUCCCUACAUCCAGCUCCACCGACUCCCUCCAAGGGCAACUGGAGAUGUGGGAUGGCCUCCCGCAUCCCUGCAGUGCCCCUUCCCUCCUCUUCCCCACAGCCCCGCAGGCGUUUCUCACCCACAACCCCACAGCAUUCCCGCUCCCCUCCAACAUCACCUUCCUUACGCCUGCCCAUAACCUCUCCUUCUCCCCUCGCUCCUUGUACACAAGCACAAGGCCUCUCCCUCUUGUCACAGUGGUGCUCACCCUGCUCCAGCUCCCUUUCCCUCCUGCCCAGUCCCACGGGAAGCUCGUGCCCAGCCUCUGCCCACACCAGGACAGCCUGCUUUUCCACGAGCCUUUCUUGGGCAUCUCCGCUCAGCCAGGCUCCAGCUCCCCCAACCAUUGCUCUUCCCCCUGCGCUUGCCGCCCCCCCCAACCCCCAAUCAUUUUUUGCUGUGUCUGUGCUCUCCCCGGUGCUUUAUCCACAGUUUUACCUGUUGUACAGCUCCACGCUGGAAGGGGAAUGGCAAAAAAAACAAAGCCUCAGUGGUGCUGGUCAGCUGCUUGCUCCACUUUGCAUGACCCCCGGGAUCAUCUGCCGGCUCCUACCACCACUCCUCAUUUUUUAAUCUCAUCGAGUGAGCUGAGAAUUAAUUAUUUAGCAUCUCCCCGAAAG